CAGCAGCCGCGGUAACACGUAGGGUGCGAGCGUUAAUCGGAAUUACUGGGCGUAAAGCGUGCGCAGGCGGUUGUGUAAGACAGGUGUGAAAUCCCCGGGCUUAACCUGGGAACUGCGCUUGUGACUGCACAGCUAGAGUAUGGCAGAGGGGGGUGGAAUUCCACGUGUAGCAGUGAAAUGCGUAGAGAUGUGGAGGAACACCGAUGGCGAAGGCAGCCCCCUGGGCCAAUACUGACGCUCAUGCACGAAAGCGUGGGGAGCAAACAGGAUUAGAUACCCCAGUAGUCCCUGUCUCUUAUAC
rnacentral:rRNA from 1 species